AGGAUGAACGCUGGCGGCGUGCCUAAUACAUGCAAGUCGAGCGGUAAGGCUCUGCACAGUUUAUUUGAUCGUGAUAACUUCGGUUGUCGUAGCAGACCAAAAUUCCUCUGGCUAGAGGAAUGGCGGCGAGGGAGAUGGAAUAAAGUGUGUAGAGUACACGAGCGGCGGACGGCUGAGUAACACGUAGGAACGUACCCCAAACUGAGGGAUAAGCACCAGAAAUGGUGUCUAAUACCGCAUGUGCUCUAAGGAGUAAAGCUUCGGCGGUUUGGGAACGGCCUGCGUCCGAUUAGCUUGUUGGUGAGGUAAUGGCUCACCAAGGCGACGAUCGGUAGCUGGUCUGAGAGGAUGAUCAGCCAGACUGGGACUGAGAACGGCCCAGACUCCUACGGGAGGCAGCAGUAGGGAAUUUUCCACAAUGGGCGAAAGCCUGAUGGAGCAACGCCGCGUGCGAGGAUGAAUGCCUUAGGGUUGUAAACUGCUUUUA
rnacentral:rRNA from 1 species